CAGUCGCCGCGGUAAUACGAAGGGGGCUAGCGUUGUUCGGAUUUACUGGGCGUAAAGCGCACGUAGGCGGAAAUUUAAGUCAGGGGUGAAAUCCCGAGGCUCAACCUCGAACUGCCUUUGAUACUGGGUUUCUUGAGUCCGGAAGAGGUGAGUGGAACUGCGAGUGUAGAGGUGAAAUUCGUAGAUAUUCGCAAGAACACCAGUGGCGAAGGCGGCUCACUGGUCCGGAACUGACGCUGAGGUGCGAAAGCGUGGGGAGCAAACAGGAUUAGAUACCCCCGUAGUCCCUGUCUCUUAUACA
rnacentral:rRNA from 1 species